rnacentral:hammerhead_ribozyme from 1 species
AUUCAGCUGACGAGUCCCAAAUAGGACGAAACGCUCGUCCUAGAU